CUCCUACGAGAAUCGGAUUCUAGCCGAACUCCCACAGUUGAGGGAUCCCAGAUGAAUGUCGACAACGGAAGGGCUCCGCCAGUCGGAUCUCUACUCCGAACUUCUACUGCAAACGGUCUACUCCAGAUCUCUACUGUAAGCGAAUUCCAUCUGAGCCUUUACUGUAAAUGAAUUCUUUUCGAACUUCUAUUACAGGUGGACUUCAGCCCAGCUUCUUCAU
rnacentral:lncRNA from 1 species